UCAGAACGAACGCUGGCGGCGUGCUUAACACAUGCAAGUCGAACGUGAUCCGGAGCUUGCUCCGGUGAAAGUGGCGCACGGGUGAGUAACGCGUGGAUAAUCUGCCCUGGUAUCUGGGAUAACAUCUCGAAAGGGGUGCUAAUACCGGAUAAGCCUACGGUCUCUUCGGAGUCUGCAGGAAAAGGUGGCCUCUAUUUAUAAGCUACCGUAUCAGGAUGAGUCCGCGUACCAUUAGCUAGUUGGUGGGGUAAUGGCCCACCAAGGCUACGAUGGUUAGCUGGUCUGAGAGGAUGAUCAGCCACACUGGAACUGAGACACGGUCCAGACUCCUACGGGAGGCAGCAGUGGGGAAUUUUGCGCAAUGGGGGAAACCCUGACGCAGCAACGCCGCGUGAGUGAUGAAGGCUUUCGGGUCGUAAAGCU
rnacentral:rRNA from 1 species